UGAUUGGUAAUGUUUCCUCUCCUCCUCAGCUAUGAGUUCAGUGUGUCUCUCGUGGAGCUCCACAGACGCACUCUGGACGUCGCGGUGAAGAACGGAGGAGGACUGCUCUCCAAACACAAAGGCCUUCUGGGAAAGGUUCUGGUGGAUUUGACGUACGAGGACACGUCUAAGGGUUGGACACAAUGGUAUGAGCUGAGUGAAGAUGGUCUGACGAAACCUCAACAACUAUAGAGCGAAACAACCAUCACAAUCACCAUCAUCAUCAUCAUCACAAUCAUCAUCACCACAACCAUCAUCAUCAUCAUCAUCAUUAUCACCACAAUGAUACGAGACAUCUAUUAUUUUUACUAAGUCUACAAAGUAAAGAAGAAGCAGCUUUGAUCCAUUUAACCACAUCAGUCGCAAGGCAGACCUCCCCUUUAAGAAGAGCCAGGCUUUAAAGGGAGUAUUCCACAUGUAGAAUAUUCAAUAUAUCACCAAUACUACCAUGUACUGCUGUGGAAAAUAUAUUCCAUAUUUAUAGGAGAAUAUAAAUACCAGCUGUAGAUGAAGACAAUCUAUUUUUUUGCGGUAAAAUAUGUAAAAGUUUGUAAAUAUAUAAACGAUGACGCUCGACUAAAGAGGGCGCCGUGUUUGAGACAGAUUCAGGCCAAAUGAUUGUUUGUCGUUUUCUUUGAUUUCUUUGAAAACAUUCUAGACGCCACCAAAGAGACGAGAAGUCAUUUUUUGUAUUCUCUUCCCUCGUUUGCUUUCCUCUGGUUUAAUUCCACUUUGAUAACAUGUGUUUAAAACAUCUUAAAGAUAAGUAUAAGUACACACAGGGGCGCCGCUUGCAAAGAGGCAAGGCAGGGCUUGGGGCCCCGGACCAGAAGGGGGCCCCCAAAGAAGGUAGAUUAAGAAGGUCCACAACAUGAAACACCCUUUCAUU